rnacentral:rRNA from 1 species
CUUGAUUAGUGGCGCACGGGUGAGUAAUGCAUAGAUAAUGUGCCCCUUAGUUCGGGAUAGCCACUGGAAACGGUGAUUAAUACCGGAUACUCCUUCUUGUUAUAAGACAAGUCGGGAAAGUUUUUCGCUAAGGGAUCAGUCUAUGUUCCAUCAGCUUGUUGGUGAGGUAAUGGCUCACCAAGGCUAUGACGGAUAUCUGGUUUGAGAGGAUGAUCAGACACACUGGAACUGAGACACGGUCCAGACUCCUACGGGAGGCAGCAGUGAGGAAUAUUGCACAAUGGAGGAAACUCUGAUGCAGCAACGCCGCGUGGAGGAUGACGCAUUUCGGUGUGUAAACUCCUUUUAUUAGGGAAGAUAAUGACGGUACCUAAUGAAUAAGCACCGGCUAACUCCGUGCCAGCAGCCGCGGUAAUACGGAGGGUGCAAGCGUUACUCGGAAUCACUGGGCGUAAAGGGUGCGUAGGCUGGCUUUUAAGUCAGAUGUGAAAUCCAAUGGCUCAACCAUUGAACUGCAUUUGAAACUGAAAGCCUAGAGUUCAGAAGGGGCAGAUGGAAUUAGUGGUGUAGGGGUAAAAUCCGUAGAUAUCACUAGGAAUAUCAAAAGCGAAGACGAUCUGCUGGGAUGAUACUGACG